AACUCUGCCGUAGACAGCAGUUCUUUGGAAAUGCCAAAGUGCUUUGAGAUCCAGAAAGCACGUCACUAACCACGGCAUCCAACCUCCAAGAUGGCCUCCAGAGACCCUCCCUGCUGGUAUUUACGACCUCAUACGGCCUCUUCCGACUCCGAGUGGCCUGGGCGACGACAGGAUAGUGUGGAAAAGGCAGAGGGUGACUUCCUAGCGAGGCCACAAGAGGCAGGGACUUCCUCCUUGUGCCCGUGGGCUACCCAUCCUGUCAUGAAGAUGCUCAAGCAGCCCAUGGACACGGCCAGGUGAGAGGAGCUGGGGCCCAGCCAGCAGUGGCCGGUACUGAUGCGUGGGCCGUCUUGGAGGAGGGGAUCCUCUGCCCCAGAAAGCUCUGCUCUUGCAAAAGAAAUCCUCUGCGCUUUCAGAAUAUUGCCUCUGCUGUGAGUUUUUAAAAAUUCAUCCAGAAAGUCAA